GGGGCGAUUGUUAAAAGCGUGUACCACUCAUGAGUCAUGCCAUCUUCACCACCAUAUUCUGGAUUCGCACUCCGUAGCGAUGAGAAUGGCUCUCAAUUCCAAAUUCAUGCAACUUUAUGUAAGGUUAUGAUCUGUUGUUGGGUUCGAUCGCCGCUUUUUAUGUGUUCAUGGCACCUUACACAAAGGUCGGAGAAAGCUUCAAUGUUCAGGCAAUGCACGACAUAUUAUAACAUCGCAUCAGAUAGAGAAGUAUGAUCACUUGGAAUUUCCUGGAGUUGUUCCUCGUACAUUUAUAGGUUGACAUUAGAGCAAAGGAAGCAUGGUUUAAGCUAAUAUCGGUCAUCGACUGAUGCAGUCGAAGUGGCGUAUCAUACGACACCAUUGAAGUUGAUAUCAACAAAAGUGUUCGCCCGACGAACCUAUCUUGCACUUGUUUCAUAGCGACGAACCUGUUUCAGAUUAUCUUCCGAAUAUGCCUAAUGGGUUUUAGAAGAUUUUUUUUAAAUGUAAAUUAGCACUCGUUGUUUGUAGAAUUUCAGCAUUCUUUAUAUGAUAUGAAAGAUUGUACUUGUAUACCUAAAGCAAUAAAGACUGUUAUUCGUUUUA